CUUAGUCAAGCUGGUGGAGGCAGCGGGAAUAGCAUCCCAGGGUCCAUGGGUCCAGGUGGAGGUGGCCAGGCACAUGGUGGUUUGGGUCAGUUGCCUUCCUCAGGAAUGGGUGGUGGGAGCUGUCCCAGGAAGGGUACAGGAGUGGUGCAGCCCUUGCCUGCAGCCCAAACAGUGACUGUGAGCCAGGGCAGCCAGACAGAGGCAGAAAGUGCAGCAGCCAAGAAGGCAGAAGCAGAUGGGAGUGGCCAGCAGAAUGUGGGCAUGAACCUGACACGGACAGCCACACCUGCGCCGAGCCAGACACUUAUUAGCUCAGCCACCUACACACAGAUCCAGCCCCAUUCACUGAUUCAGCAACAGCAACAGAUCCACCUCCAGCAGAAACAGGUGGUGAUCCAGCAGCAGAUUGCCAUCCACCACCAGCAGCAGUUCCAGCACCGGCAGUCCCAGCUCCUUCACACAGCUACACACCUCCAGUUGGCGCAGCAGCAGCAGCAGCAGCAACAGCAACAGCAGCAACAGCAGCAGCCGCAAGCCACCACCCUCACUGCCCCUCAGCCACCACAGCCCAGGUCCCUGCUGCCUUCUAUAUGCAGUCUGUGCACUUGCCGGGUAAACCCCAGACAUUGGCUGUCAAACGCAAGGCUGACUCUGAGGAGGAGAGAGAUGAUGUCUCCACAUUGGGUUCAAUGCUUCCUGCCAAGGCAUCUCCAGUAGCAGAAAGCCC
rnacentral:sRNA from 1 species